rnacentral:misc_RNA from 1 species
AAAGUCGUAACAAGGUUUCCGUAGGUGAACCUGCGGAAGGAUCAUUAAAUAUUUGGUGCAAAAAAAAGGGACGCUUCGGCGUGCCUGCCCAAAACAGUAGAAAGGUGGGGGGAGGGGGUGAAGUCUAGCCACUUCUCAUCCCCCCUCUCUCCACCGGGAAGAUUAUCCCCCAACUGUGCACCUAUUGAAAGGAAUUCGGUCUUUUUGGCCACAGUAAAUAACCUUAGUCUAAACGUUUGUCUGAUCUUUUACUUAUAACGAGUAAAAAAACCAAUACAACUUUCAACAACGGAUCUCUUGGCUCUC